rnacentral:rRNA from 1 species
AUGGCUCGUCUCCCACCUUUUCUCUUGCUCCUCGCAGCAACUUGUGCGGCGGUAGCGAACGCGCAGCUGUCGGAGAACUACUACGGUUCUUCUUGCCCCGCGGCGCUUCUCACCGUCAGGACAACCGUGGCGACGGCGGUGCUGCUCGACCGCCGCAUGGGCGCCUCCCUUCUCCGGCUAUACUUCCACGACUGCUUUGUGCAAGGGUGCGACGCGUCGGUGCUGCUGGACGACACGCCCAGCUUCACCGGCGAAAAGGGGGCGGGGCCGAACGCAGGGUCGCUGCGCGGCUUCGAGGUGAUUGACAGGAUCAAACUGCUGCUGGAGCUGAUUUGCCCGCGGACCGUCUCUUGCGCCGACAUCCUCGCCGUCGCUGCCCACGACGCCGUCGUCGACGUGACAAUCAGUACUACGUGCUUUGUUGGGCUUCCUGCGCAGCUAGGGGGGCCAUCAUGGACGGUUCUACUUGGGAGGAGGGACGCCACCACCGCAAGUGCGUCCUUGGCCAACAGUGACCUCCCCGGCCCCAACUCCAACCUUAAUGAUCUCCUCGCCGCUUUCUCCAAGAAGGGAUUAAGCAGCACCGACAUGGUUGCUCUCUCAGGGGGGCACACCAUCGGCCGGGCGCAAUGCCAGAAUUACCGAAACCGGAUCUACGCCGACACCGACAUCGACGGGACCUUCACGGCGUCGCUGCGAGGCGACUGCCCACAGGGUGGUGGCAACGACGGCAACCUCGCGCCUCUCGACGCGUCCUCGCCCGACUACUUCGACAACAGCUACUUCUCCGGCCUCCUCAGCCAUCGGGGGCUGCUCCACUCCGACCAGGCGCUGUACGACGGCGGCUCCACGGACGGUCUGGUUAGCAGCUACGCGUCCAACAAUGAUCAGUUCGGCAGCGACUUCGCGGCCGCGAUGGUGAAGCUGGGCAAUCUCGGUGUGCUCACGGGGGCGUACGGUGAAAUCAGGGUCAACUGCCGGGCGGUAAACUGA